CAGUCGCCGCGGGAAUACGUAGGUGGCAAGCGUUGUCCGGAAUUAUUGGGCGUAAAGGGCUCGCAGGCGGUUUCUUAAGUCUGAUGUGAAAGCCCCCGGCUCAACCGGGGAGGGUCAUUGGAAACUGGGAAACUUGAGUGCAGAAGAGGAGAGUGGAAUUCCACGUGUAGCGGUGAAAUGCGUAGAGAUGUGGGGGAACACCAGUGGCGAAGGCGACUCUCUGGUCUGUAACUGACGCUGAGGAGCGAAAGCGUGGGGAGCGAACAGGAUUAGAUACCCGUGUAGUCCCUGUCUCUUAUAC
rnacentral:rRNA from 1 species